rnacentral:rRNA from 1 species
GAUGAACGCUAGCGGGAGGCCUAACACAUGCAAGCCGAGCGGUAUUUGUUCUUCGGAACAGAGAGAGCGGCGCACGGGUGCGGAACACGUGUGCAACCUGCCUUUAUCUGGGGGAUAGCCUUUCGAAAGGAAGAUUAAUACCCCAUAAUAUAUUGAGUGGCAUCACUUGAUAUUGAAAACUCCGGUGGAUAGAGAUGGGCACGCACAAGAUUAGAUAGUUGGUGAGGUAACGGCUCACCAAGUCAAUGAUCUUUAGGGGGCCUGAGAGGGUGAUCCCCCACACUGGUACUGAGACACGGACCAGACUCCUACGGGAGGCAGCAGUGAGGAAUAUUGGACAAUGGGUUAGCGCCUGAUCCAGCCAUCCCGCGUGAAGGACGACGGCCCUAUGGGUGGUAAACUUCUUUUGUAUAGGGAUAAACCUACUCUCGUGAGAGUAGCUGAAGGUACUAUACGAAUAAGCACCGGCUAACUCCGUG